AUGAUAGAAAAAUACCAAGUUCACCACAUCAAGUACUUCAACAACAUGUGGGAAAACAGGAAAAAGUUCAUCCCAGUGUAUUUCAAGGACAAAUUCUCCCCAUUCAUACAAACUACAGCGAGAAGUGAAGGAACGAAUUCCCUUUUCAAAAAAGGGGUUGGAGCUAAAUUUAGUGCUACUAGCUUUUUAAGAGAGUAUGACCGGAUACUUGAUGUUGUGCAUGACAGGGAAGAAGAAUGCGACCAUGUUAGUAGAAACAAGAAAGUUGCACAGAAAGCAUUUGGGUCAAAAUACAGCAUAGAAAGGCAAGCACAUGAGCUAUACAACAUUGGAAUAUUCAGGAAAUUCCAGUUUAAAAUGGCAGACACAACAAGGCUGCAUGUCUUUGAGCAAGAAAAGGACAAAUACUACAUUGUGACACAAGCUGAAAACUACCCCCAAAAGGAAAUCCGGAAAAGGUUGUACCUAGUGCAAGUUGGACUAAAAGAAGAAGAAUACUCUUGCAUCUGUUGCGCAUUCCAAAAAGAUGGCCUGCUGUCCUCGCACAUACUUCGAGUGAUGAUCCAUCUCAACAUCGAGAAGAUACCAGAAAAGUACAUCAUUGACAGAUGGAGGAAGAAUGACUACAAGCUUGAUAUUACAAAGACACCAGCUGUUGCAGCCGAGAACUCCACACUAAGGUACAAUGUGUUAGCAAGGAAAUUGGUGCAUGUGGCAUCAAUAGCUUCAAAGAAGAAGAGGAAGUAUGAGUAUCUGUUGGGAGAAUUAGACAGUAUACAGAAAAGGUUACGGGAAAUGGAUGACGAAGAAAAAACAAUGGAUGCGGGGCAAAGUGCAACAACAAGAAUAGUUACGUUUGUACCAACAACAGGAGAGGGAGAAAGAACAACAUCAUCAUUCAUAAUUCAAGACCCGGAUGUAGCAAAGACAAAUGGGAGACCAAGGAUGCUAACUAUUCGUGAAGCAAUAAAGCAAAACAAGUUCUACAAAUGUUCGCACUGUGGAUCGUAG
rnacentral:rRNA from 1 species